AACGAACGCUGGCGGAAUGCUUUACACAUGCAAGUCGAACGACAGCACGGACUUCGGUCUGGUGGCGAGUGGCGAACGGGUGAGUAAUGUAUAGGAACGUGCCCAGUCGUGGGGGAUAACGUAGCGAAAAUUAAGUUAAUACCGCAUACGAUCUAUGGAUGAAAGCGGGGGAUCGCAAGACCUCGCGCGAUUGGAGCGGCCGAUAUCCGAUUAGGUAGUUUGUGGGGUAAAGGCGCAUCAAGCCAACGAUCUGUAGCUGGUCUGAGAGGACGACCAGCCACACUGAGACUGAGACACGGUCCAGGCUCCGACGGGGUGCAGCAGUGGGGCAUUUUGGACUAUGGGCUAAUGCCUGAUCCAGCCAUUCCACGUGAACGUUGAAGGCCCUCGGGUUGUAAACUUCUUUUGUACAGAACGAAAAUGUUUCUACUAAUACUAGGAGCUAAUGACGAUACUGUAAGAAUAAGCACCAUCUAACUACGUGCCAGCCGCCGCCGUAA
rnacentral:rRNA from 1 species